rnacentral:tRNA from 1 species
GCUUGGGUGGCAGAGCCUGGUAAUUGCAAAAGUCCUAAGAUCUUUAAACCAGAGGUUCAAAUCCUCUUCCUAGCC